CGAGGAAGACGAGGAGAACAAGGUGGACGAGGAGGACGAGGAUUUGUGCACUCGGUGAAGGGGAAAUCUUCGAAAGACAUCCGGAUGUUCUUGGAUGUCGUCGGAUAGUGCCGGAUUCUUACCGGCUAAAACCCCUCCACCGCUCCUCGGCCAGUACGGAGCGGACCCGCACUCGCAUUACUGCACUUCGUCCCUGUGGCCGACCGUUCUCUUGGCCUCUCUCUCCCGCUUACCACGACAUGGCGUUGACCAUCUCGGCCAGACUGUCGCGCCUCGGUCAGCUUUCCCUUUCCUCCACUUUACUUGCCUCAGUACAACCCGAGGUGGUUAUCGGUGGUUGUUCGAGGUGGUUGGCGAUUGUUGGAG
rnacentral:lncRNA from 1 species